rnacentral:rRNA from 1 species
AACGAACGCUGGCGGCAUGCCUAACACAUGCAAGUCGAACGAGACCUUCGGGUCUAGUGGCGCACGGGUGCGUACCGCGUGGGAACCUGCCCUUAGGUUCGGUAUAACUCCCCGAAAGGGGUGCUAAUACCGGAUAAUGUCUUCGGACCAAAGAUUUAUCGCCUUUGGAUGGGCCCGCGUUGGAUUAGCUAGUUGGUAGGGUAAAAGCCUACCAAGGCGACGAUCCAUAGCUGGUCUGAGAGGAUGAUCAGCCACACUGGGACUGAGACACGGCCCAGACUCCUACGGGAGGCAGCAGUGGGGAAUAUUGGACAAUGGGCGAAAGCCUGAUCCAGCAAUGCCGCGUGAGUGAUGAAGGCCUUAGGGUUGUAAAGCUCUUUUACCCGGGAUGAUAAUGACAGUACCGGGAGAAUAAGCUCCGGCUAACUCCGUG